AACGAACGCUGGCGGCAGGCUUAACACAUGCAAGUCGAACGCCCCGCAAGGGGAGUGGCAGACGGGUGAGUAACGCGUGGGAAUCUACCCAGUUCUACGGAAUAACCCAGGGAAACUUGGACUAAUACCGUAUACGCCCUACGGGGGAAAGAUUUAUCGGAAUUGGAUGAGCCCGCGUUGGAUUAGCUAGUUGGUGAGGUAACGGCUCACCAAGGCGACGAUCCAUAGCUGGUCUGAGAGGAUGAUCAGCCACACUGGGACUGAGACACGGCCCAGACUCCUACGGGAGGCAGCAGUGGGGAAUAUUGGACAAUGGGCGCAAGCCUGAUCCAGCCAUGCCGCGCGAGUGAUGAAGGCCUUAGGGUUGUAAAGCUCUUUCAGUGGGGACGAUAAUGACGGUACCCACAGAAGAAGCCCCGGCUAACUUCGUGCCAGCAGCCGCGGUAACAC
rnacentral:rRNA from 1 species